rnacentral:rRNA from 1 species
ACUACCCGCUGAGUUUAAGCAUAUCAAUAAG